rnacentral:rRNA from 1 species
GAAAGGCGAAAAGAACCCCGGGAGGGGAGUGAAAUAGAUCCUGAAAUUGUGUGCAUACAAACAGUAGGAGCCUCGUAAGGGGUGACUGCGUACCUUUUGUAUAAUGGGUCAGCGACUUACAUUCAGUAGCAAGCUUAACCGAAUAGGGAAGGCGUAGCGAAAGCGAGUCCGAAUAGGGCGCUAGUUGCUGGGUGUAGACCCGAAACCAGUUGAUCUAUCCAUGGCCAGGUUGAAGGUGCGGUAACACGUACUGGAGGACCGAACCCACUAACGUUGAAAAGUUAGGGGAUGAGCUGUGGAUAGGGGUGAAAGGCUAAACAAAACUGGAAAUAGCUGGUUCUCUCCGAAAACUAUUUAGGUAGUGCCUCGUGUAUCACCGUAGGGGGUAGAGCACUGUCAUGGUAGUGGGGUCCAUUGCGGAUUACUGCGCCAUAGCAAACUCCGAAUACCUACGAGUGCGAGCACGGGAGACAGACAUCGGGUGCUAACGUCCGGUGUCAAGAGGGAAACAACCCAGACCGCCAGCUAAGGUCCCUAAUAUAUGCUAAGUGGGAAACGAAGUGGGAAGGCUAAAACAGUCAGGAGGUUGGCUUAGAAGCAGCCAUCCUUUAAAGAAAGCGUAAUAGCUCACUGAUCGAGUCGUCCUGCGCGGAAGAUGUAACGGGGCUAAGCAUAUAACCGAAGCUGCGGAUCACAGUAAUGUGAUGGUAGGAGAGCGUUCUGUAAGCCUGUGAAGGUGUCUUGUAAAGGAUGCUGGAGGUAUCAGAAGUGCGAAUGCUGACAUGAGUAGCGAUAAAGGGGGUGAAAAGCCCCCUCGCCGUAAGCCCAAGGUUUCCUGUUCAACGUUCAUCGGAACAGGGUGAGUCGGCCCCUAAGGCGAGGCAGAGAUGCGUAGCUGAUGGGAACAAGGUUAAUAUUCCUUGACCAUUGUUAGAUGCGAUGGGGGGACGGAUCGCGGAAAGUUGUCCGGGUGUUGGAAGUCCCGGUUCUUGCGUUGGAGAUGGCUAUUAGGUAAAUCCGGUAGCGUAAUUCAAGGGCGUGAGACGAGCGAAUUUAUUCGCGAAGCAAUUGGAAGUGGUUCCAAGAAAAGCCUCUAAGCUUCAGUCUAACAAGACCGUACCGCAAACCGACACAGGUGGGCGAGAUGAGUAUUCUAAGGCGCUUGAGAGAACUCAGGAGAAGGAACUCGGCAAAUUUGCACCGUAACUUCGGGAUAAGGUGCGCCCUUGUAGUUUGACCGUGAACAACGGGAGGACGAAAGGGUUGCAAUAAAAAGGUGGCUGCGACUGUUUAAUAAAAACACAGCACUCUGCAAACACGAAAGUGGACGUAUAGGGUGUGACGCCUGCCCGGUGCUGGAAGAUUAAAUGAUGGGGUGCAAGCUCUUGAUUGAAGUCCCAGUAAACGGCGGCCGUAACUAUAACGGUCCUAAGGUAGCGAAAUUCCUUGUCGGGUAAGUUCCGACCUGCACGAAUGGCGUAACGAUGGCCACACUGUCUCCUCCUGAGACUCAGCGAAGUUGAAAUGUUUGUGAUGAUGCAAUCUACCCGUGGCUAGACGGAAAGACCCCAUGAACCUUUACUGUAGCUUUGCAUUGGACUUUGAAUCGGUCUGUGUAGGAUAGGUGGGAGGCGUUGAUAACAGGAUGCUAGUUCUGUUGGAGCCAACCUUGAAAUACCACCCUGAUUUAUUUGAGGUUCUAACCUUGGCCCGUUAUCCGGGUCGGGAACAGUGCAUGGUAGGCAGUUUGACUGGGGCGGUCUCCUCCCAAAGUGUAACGGAGGAGUACGAAGGUACGCUUGGUACGGUCGGACAUCGUACCUAAAGUGCAAUGGCAAAAGCGUGCUUAACUGCGAGACCGACAAGUCGAGCAGGUGCGAAAGCAGGUCAUAGUGAUCCGGUGGUUCUGUAUGGAAGGGCCAUCGCUCAACGGAUAAAAGGUACUCUGGGGAUAACAGGCUGAUACCGCCCAAGAGUUCAUAUCGACG